AUCUAGAUUUUUUGUGAUUUCUCUUCAUUCUCAUAAGCCAAAACGCCAUAGAAGGGGUUCUUUAAGCUGGUAUUUCAUAAUUUUUGCACCAAAUCCAAAAAAUUCAAAUACGAAGCUAGAUCAAGGAAAGGAAAAAGUUCGAGAUUAGUAGAUUUUUGUAUACAAACAAGCAUCGGGUAUUAAGAGCUCGGAGGUCGGAUUCGGUCGGAGACAUAUCACACUAUCAACCUGUAACGGCCUAAUUUUCAGUAGUUUCAGAAACGAUGAUUUGAGAUCACUAAAUCUAACAAGUAAGAUUGAAUAAGAUAGUAAUUUAAUAUUUAUGAGUCAAGUAAGAAUUUAGAAGAAUUGGUGAAUUGGUGAAUUAAAAGAAUUUAUUAAGUCAAAUGGGUCAAAAAUGAGGUAUCGAGACCUUAGAUUUUAAAACCGAGCCAUAAAUAUUUUUAGAAAUAUUUAUGGAGAGCCAUUAAGUUAGUAUUAAAGUUGUUGAGAAAUUUUAACGUUUAGGUAGUCAAUUAAAUAAAAAAGACUAAAUUGUAACAAAUGUAAAAUUUGCUAGAAGGAUUAAAUAGCUUAAGUGUUAAAAGAAAGAGCAUUUAAAGGGAAAUUAAGCCUAAAAGUGAAUUUGUUGGACGACAAGGGCAAGAAAAUCAGCAGAAAAAUAAGGGAAAUAAGGGCAAAAUUAGAAAUUUUAAAAUUUUAACAUAUAAAAUAAGGACAAAUUUGAAAAAUCUAGAGAUCUCUUCAUAUUUUCUCAGCCAAAACGCUAUAGGAGGUCUAGAGAAAGCUAGUUUUUCAUAUUUUUACAUCAUAUCAAGAACCCAAAGAAGAACGAGGAAAA